UGGACAGAUUAUUGUAUUCGACUGUAUUCACGGCGUGAAACAGGGGAUUACACUGUUUUUAAAUGGAAAGUGAAUCAAUUAACAUAAUAGACUCCU
rfam:Nicotiana sylvestris Nsyl_contig54802, whole genome shotgun sequence.